UCAUCAAGAAAGCCCCAACAAGUAGACUUCCUCUAUUUAUGGUGUUUCAAUGUACUCUUAGAUGUAAGACCAAAGAUCCAACUAUCCACAACUCCACCAAGGUCUGUGGCUAGCUUCCUACCUUCUUGGUUUGCCACCCUCAGCUCUCCAACUCACCAUCUAUCUUAUCGAUCUGAGCUAGACCAAUUUCAAUAGCAAUAAAAUGGUGCUAGAGCAAGGGUCAUGAUCUAUUGAUUUGAGGUUCUAAUCACUCAUCUCCUCCAAUCCACCAU
rnacentral:lncRNA from 1 species